ensembl:lncRNA
GAAAAACAAGAGGGAGUUGAUUUUGUGACUGCUGGAGUUUGAUAGAUAUGAUGUGGGCGGAGUUCCAGUAAACAGGAUCGAACAUUUCAGCGGUCACGCACACUGACAAUUAAGCAGCAGGUAAAAUACGGCUUCAAGGGUUCCACAUGAUGGGAAAGUUGAUCAGCUCCAUCAGAGAUGUGGGAUGUAUUUAUUUCACCUGGAUGGCGCUCAUUGACAUCGGCUCUGAUUGUUUCGGUGUUCCAGGUCAGUGAGGGUCAUUUCUCAUCUAUUGCAAAAAAAUCUAAACUGAGUCACGUGUCUUCAAAUCAUAUCACCAAAAAUGACUGUUAUGAUUCAGGGCAUCGUUAUGCUUCAUUAAGCUAAGAUUACACAUAAUACGUUUGGAUGCAGGUCAGAGGUCACGUGGGAGGGUGAGAGGUGUGAGUCAGUGCAAAAGUCUUCAGGCCACAACGCCUUUUCGGCACGCCGCCUGUUCGCCUAUCACGCCUCCCAUCCAUGUGUGUCCGUGUGGACACGUGCUGUAUGGUUGUUUUGGGAGCUGUAUUUUCUGAUUUGAUUUGAAACUUACAGCGAGGACACGAAGCAGACAUGAUUGUGGCUCUAAGCGUGGACAGUCUUAGCUGCAACUCUUUUUUUCCCGAGAUGCUCUCUAUUGUUAAAUUUGAAGGGUUCACUCAUAAUAGAGAGAGAGUCAAAAUAGCAUUUGCGAGGCUGUAAACAGGAAACAAGACGCAGCUUUCCAUUACGCGUAUGUGUUCGACUUCCUCCGGCAUGUCGUCUGCCACCUCCGACUUUCUGAUUCCCUCCUUGUCUCCGUCAGAGCAGCAGAGACAAGCAGAUCUGAUCUGGUCCGUGGUGCUGCUUGAACUCUCCACAGGGUCAUUCAGCUCAUCGCCCGUCAGGGUGGCAGGUUGGAUGGAGGAGAAUUUGCACCAAACGCUGACCUGGAUCUCAAGAAACUUCAGAAUCCCAGAGAAUCAACCGUCAUGAUCUUGUUUCCUUGCGGCUACGCUUUCAUAAAUGUAGCUGAAAUGAAGAAGUGUGACCACAGCCAAUAAACUAACAACCUAAAAUCUCAUCAGAUUACAUGUUUGAACAAGUUUGUAGACAUUUAACAUUUCCAUUAAAAUAUUUGAAUGUAUCCAUUUUCAUCUUCUGCGGUUGAAAUCUUUCAAUAUUUCCAAUUCCUGCUUCUUGACAUGUUCACAAUCCUUUCCUGCUUAUACUCUGCUACUUUAUACUUUCUUUCUUCCUUUUUCUGGCCCUUGUUUCUGGAUAUCGUCCUGAACUAUCUCUGCUGAUUAGCGGCCCGCUUGAGGAAGUUGUAGGAGGAGAAGAGGCCAAACAGUGCGCUGUGCACUCCCAACCAGGCUGCAUGUCUGGGCUAUUUCCAGCCCCCGCCUGGCCUCAGGAUGCAGCCAGAAGAAAGAAGGCAGAGGACCCUGACUCCUAUUUACACUUGGCUCGGGCUCUCGUCCUCAGUGACUCCGGAAACGAAGGCCCCACUGGUUUUUUAAACAACACAGCCUCUGAAAACAACAAACUGGUCGUGAACCCCGGAGUGGUGUUUGAACUGGGACAGUAAAGGAUGGUUCUUUUUGAUCAAAUUUGCACAAAGGGGCAGGAUCUCAGGAUGGCACCGUUGAGUCAGCACGUUUUAAAGAGGUUUUUUUAAGGGGGAGGUUUGUUUAAUCUUCUCUGUCUUCUGUCUUCACACAGUGAAAGUCCCUCACACGUUUCCGAUGGCCCCGCCCAUUUUUAUAAUGAAGCUAUUUAACAGCGUCCCAGUCACCCCGAUCUGCACCGAUAGAUUACAUCAUGUCUCUGUUGUGCAGACCUCGCACAUGCUAGCAUGUGCAGCAGGCUUCACACAUGUUUAUGGGAACUUAAUCUGAUCUGAUGUGAAUGUGUUAAGUGACGGGUGUGUCCUUGGCUGGCGUGCACGGAUGUGGUAUUUUUAGCCAGGUUAAAGUACAGCAGUAGAAGAUAAUGACAGUGGUCUUAAUAGCACUCAGGUCUUGAGGAGACGGAAGUCUCAAAGACCGCGAGUGAUGUUCCUCCCUUUAGUCUUAAAAGGAGUCAUGUUUGCCACCUGGGAGAGACUGUCGACUCAGCUCAGUCUGAACACAAAUUUCAGGAACUGACACUUCUGUUUACCCACAAGCAAGAAAACAUGUUUUUCUGUCUCAUUUAAUUAAAGAAACAUGGCCCAAACUGUUUUACUUUCAAUUUCAGAUGCCACUCUGUUAUUUCCUCUGGCAUUUAUUUUCUUCCUUUUUGCAGGGCUGUAACGAUCAACAGCGUAGUUUAUUGUGUUAAAGCCUCAAAAUGUGUAUUAAAAAAAUAUAAAUCAGAUAAAUAAACCAAU